rnacentral:rRNA from 1 species
GUAGGCGGUUUAAUAAGUGAAUAGUGAAACCUGGUGGCUCAACCAUACAGACUAUUAUUCAAACUGUUAAACUCGAGAAUGGUAGAGGUAACNUGGAAUUUCUAGUGCAGGAGUGAAAUCCGUAGAUAUUAGAAGGAACACCGAUGGCGUAGGCAGGUUACUGGGCCAUUUCUGACGCUAAGGCACGAAAGCGUGGGGAGCGAACCGGAUUAGAUACCCGGGUAGUCCACGCCGUAAACGAUGGAUACUAGCUGUUGGAGGUAUCGACCCCUUCAGUAGCGAAGCUAACGCGUUAAGUAUCCCGCCUGUGGAGUACGGCCGCAAGGCUAAAACAUAAAGGAAUUGACGGGGACCCGCACAAGCGGUGGAUCAUGUUCUUUAAUUCGAUGAUAACCGAUAAACCUUACCAGGUCUUGACAUCCUUGGAAUCUUUCAGAAAUGAGAGAGUGCUUUUUAAGAGCCAAGUGACAGGUGAUGCAUGGCCGUCGUCAGCUCGUGUCGUGAGAUGUUUGGUUAAGUCCAUCAACGAGCGCAACCCUUGUCAGUAGUUGUAUUUUUCUACUGGGACUGCCCCGGUAACGGGGAGGAAGGAGGGGAUGACGUCAGGUCAGUAUUUCCCUUACGUCCUGGGCUAGAAACGUGAUACAAUGGCUAGUACAAUGCGCAGCGAANCCGCGAGGUGAAGCAAAUCGCAUCAAAGCUAGUCCCAGUUCGGAU